UACGGGGGGGGCAAGCGUUGUUCGGAAUUACUGGGCGUAAAGGGCUCGUAGACGGCCAACUAAGUCAGACGUGAAAUCCCUCGGCUUAACCGGGGAACUGCAUCUGAUACUGGAUGGCUCGAGUUUGGGAGAGGGAUGCGGAAUUCCAGGUGUAGCGGUGAAAUGCGUAGAUAUCUGGAGGAACACCGGUGGCGAAGGCGGCAUCCUGGACCAACACUGACGCUGAUGAGCGAAAGCCAGGGGAGCAAACGGG
rnacentral:rRNA from 1 species